CCGUCCGCAGACUUAAAAAAAAAAAAAAAAAAAAAAAAAAAAAAAAAAAAAAAAA
rnacentral:ribozyme from 13 species